AGGUGUCCGAGGGACCACCUCCGAGGGUCAUCCUAGGACUUCGUCAGACCAUGUUUGUGGAUGCCAGAAGAGGUCAUGAAUUCUCAGAGGCACAGAGGAGAAGGCUUCACAACGGUGACAUGAUGUCAUUUCUAAAUGGGAGACAGACACAGAAACACAGAGGGAACAGAGCCAUGCAACCAUGGAGGGAAGGAGGCAGAGGUUGGAGUGACAUAUCUACAAACCAAGGGACGACAAGGAUCGCAGCCACCACCAGAAGCUGGAAGAAGCAGGGAAGGAUUCUUCCUGAGAGCCGUCAGGGAGCACGGCCCUGCUGACACUUUAACUUCAGACUUCUAGCCUCUGGAACCAUAAGAGAAUAAGUUCCUCCUGUUUUAAGCCACCUGAUUUGUGGUCAUUUGUCACGGCAGGUCUAGGAAACUAACUGUUGAAACAUGUCUUCAAGUGACGUGAUUUAUCCCUAUUCCCGUAUUUGGACAAAGAAAUGAAAUCGGAUGGUAUGAUCAAAACCAUCUGAAUCUUCUGCAGUGGGUGGCAUCCUUGCUUGCUUAUGAGAAUCCCCUGCAAUCUGUGGCAAAUCCCCUGGCCCAAGCACCUCCCCCCCUUCCCCCCCCCCCCCGCCUGGCCCAAUUAAAUCAGAAACUCUGCACAUGGGACCAAAACACCAGCCUUUUGUAACAGUAAAACCAUGGGCUUCAGGGUCUGUCAACUCUUGGGUUGCUUUCUGGCUUUGUUACCUACUAACUAUGCCCUUGGGCAAGUCAUGUAAUUUACCUGGUAUUUGUUCAAAUUGAAAAUGGGAUU